UACGUAGGGUGCAAGCGUUAUCCGGAAUUAUUGGGCGUAAAGAGAUGUGUAGGCGGUCUGUAAAGUUUCUGGUGAAAGCCCCGGGCUUAACUCGGGAAUUGCCAGGAAUACUCACAGACUUUGAGGGAAUCAGGGGGUGCUGGAACUCGUGGUGUAGUAGUAAUAUGCGUUGAUAUCACGAGGAACACCAAAGGCGAAGGCAGGCACCUGGGAUUCACCUGACGCUCAGAACUCGAAAGCGUGGGGAGCGAAACGGAUUAGAGUACCCCG
rnacentral:rRNA from 1 species